AUUGCUUCUUGGCCUUUUGGCUAAGAUCAAGUGAAAUUAACUAUUGUUGUUAG
rnacentral:snRNA from 1 species